rnacentral:rRNA from 1 species
CAGCCGCGGUAAUACGUAUGUCGCAAGCGUUAUCCGGAAUUAUUGGGCAUAAAGGGCAUCUAGGCGGAUAUACAAGUCAGGGGUGAAAACUUAGGGCUCAACUCAAAGCUUGCCUUUGAAACUGUAUAUCUAGAGUGCUGGAGAGGUGGACGGAACUACACGAGUAGAGGUGAAAUUCGUAGAUAUGUGUAGGAAUGCCGAUGAUGAAGAUAGUCCACUGGACAGCAACUGACGCUGAAGUGCGAAAGCUAGGGGAGCAAACAGGAUUAGAUACCCCGGUAGUCCUGGCCGUAAACGAUGGGUACUAGGUGUAGGAGGUAUUGACCCCUUCUGUGCCGGAGUUAACGCAAUAAGUACCCCGCCUGGGGAGUACGACCGCAAGGUUGAAACUCAAAGGAAUUGACGGGGGCCCGCACAAGCGGUGGAGUAUGUGGUUUAAUUCGAAGCAACGCGAAGAACCUUACCAGGUCUUGACAUCCCUCUGACCGCUCUAGAGAUAGAGUUUUC